GUCUAACAGCAACGCAUGCGUAUUAUAUGCGUAUUCGAUGCAGUUUAUUGCAUAGCUACUCAACUUAUCCUGACUUGAAAUAUAAAUACAUACCAGACACACCGCCAUUGGAUCUUGCACAAGAACACAUUGACACAAUGGGGAAUACUUCAAGCAGCAAUGAUGAUGAAGAAAGAAAAUCGAAAGAUCGUUAUCCACUACCGUCAAAUCCACUUACUGACCCUCCUGGUUCCCCUGAAAAACCACCAGAUAUUGGUGGUAGCCGGCCUUCUUGCAAUUCAGGCAGUGGUACUCCGAGUGAUUUGAAUGUUUCUUUACACCUUCCUAAGAGUGUGUCUUAUCCUCGACAAAAAUGAACCAACUUUACCUUUAAAUCAACAUUAAUUAUAUGUUUCAGAACUUUCAGAAAAUAUUGUGCUUCUGUUUAAGUUACUACCCUCAAGCUGUCCAUAUUAACUAACCCCUUUUGUCACACUCUUACUAAAUGAUAAUAUGUUUCCCUCAUUCAAAAAAUAAAAGCUUUUAUUUGAGAUAUA